rnacentral:rRNA from 1 species
CCUACGGGUGGCAACAGUGAGGAAUAUUGGUCAAUGGGCGCGAGCCUGAACCAGCCAAGUCGCGUGAGGGAAGACGGUCCUAUGGAUUGUAAACCUCUUUUGUCGGGGAGCAAAAGACGCCACGCGUGGCGUUCCGAGAGUACCCGAAGAAAAAGCAUCGGCUAACUCCGUGCCAGCAGCCGCGGUAAUACUGAGGAUGCGAGUGUUCUCCGGAUUUAUUGGGGUUAAAGGGUGCGCAGGCGGAGGAUCAAGUCAGCGGUAAAAUUGGGAGGCUCAACCUCUUCGAGCCGUUUGAACUGGUUUUCUUGAGUGAGCGAGAGGUAUGCGGAAUGCGUGGUGUAGCGGUGAAAUGCAUAGAUAUCACGCAGAACUCCGAUUGCGAAGGCAGCAUACCGGCGCUCAACUGACGCUGAUGCACGAAAGUGUGGGUAUCGAACAGGAUUAGAUACCCUAGUAGUC